ACGGAAAUUAACUUCGGUUAAUUUUAGUGGCGGACGGGUGAGUAACACGUGAGAAUUCGCCUUUAGGAGGGGGAUAACGGAUGGAAACAUUCGCUAAAACCCCAUAUGCCCCUGGGUGAAACAGAGGAGAUAAGUAAUACUGACUCUUACCUCUGCCUGAAGAGAAGCUCGCGGCUGAUUAGCUAGUUGGUAGGGUAAAGGCCUACCAAGGCGACGAUCAGUAGCUGGUCUGAGAGGACGAUCAGCCACACUGGAACUGAGACACGGUCCAGACUCCUACGGGAGGCAGCAGUGAGGAAUUUUCUGCAAUGGGCGAAAGCCUGACAGAGCAAUACCGCGUGAGGGAUGAAGACUUACUGAGUUGUAAACCUCGGUACCUUAAGGAAGAAGAUCUGACGGUACUUAAGGUGGAAAGCAUCGGCUAACUCCGUGCCAGCAGCCGCGGUAAGACGGGGGAUGCAAGUGUUAUCCGGAUUUACUGGGCGUAAAGCGUCUGCAGGUGGUUUUCUAAGUCUACUGUUAAAUCUUGAGGCUCAACCUCAAAUCUGCAGUAGAAACUAGAAGACUUGAGUAUAGUAGGGGUAGAGGGAAUUUCCAGUGGAGCGGUGAAAUGCGUAGAUAUUGGAAAGAACACCGAUGGCGAAGGCACUCUACUGGGCUAUUACUGACACUCAGAGACGAAAGCUAGGGGAGCAAAUGGGAUUAGAUACCCCAGUAGUCCUAGCCGUAAACGAUGGAUACUCGAUGUUGGACGUAUCAACCCGUUCAGUAUCUUAGCUAACGCGUUAAGUAUCCCGCCUGGGGAGUACGCUCGCAAGAGUGAAACUCAAAGGAAUUGACGAGGGCCCGCACAAGCGGUGGAGGAUGUGGUUUAAUUCGAUGCAACGCGAAGAACCUUACCAGGGUUUGCUAGAAGUGUUGGUUUUCUGAAAAGAAUUUCCUUAUU
rnacentral:rRNA from 1 species